UGGCCAUUUUGGGUUGCAAGUAAAAGUGAUGAACAGAUCAGGGUACCCCGCCCAUUUGCAAAUUGCCAUGGCAUCUUGAUAAUUCUGUAUCAUGUAAUGUGCGCCUCCCCGUAAAGCUGGAAGAGAGUAUAACUCUUUGUUCUUGAGAAUAAGGUUCUAUAUCCCCAUGUAAAACAGCAUCUUCUAACCCUUUAUAAAAAUGUGCUCUCAAUUAUUUUUGAUGAAGCCUAAUAAACCUUAA
rnacentral:lncRNA from 1 species